UGGGGAAUAUUGGACAAUGGGCGCAAGCCUGAUCCAGCCAUGCCGCGUGAGUGAUGAAGGCCCUAGGGUUGUAAAGCUCUUUCACCGGUGAAGAUAACGACGGUAACCGGAGAAGAAGCCCCGGCUAACUUCGUGCCAGCAGCCGCGGUAAUACGAAGGGGGCUAGCGUUGUUCGGAUUUACUGGGCGUAAGGCGCACGUAGGCGGACUUUUAAGUCAGGGGUGAAAUCCCGGGGCUCAACCCCGGAACUGCCUUGGAUACUGGAAGUCUUGAGUAUGGUAGAGGUGAGUGGAAUUCCGAGUGUAGAGGUGAAAUUCGUAGAUAUUCGGAGGAACACCAGUGGCGAAGGCGGCUCACUGGACCAUUACUGACGCUGAGGUGCGAAAGCGUGGGGAGCAAACAGG
rnacentral:rRNA from 1 species